CCUACGGGAGGCAGCAGUGAGGAAUAUUGGACAAUGGGUGAGAGCCUGAUCCAGCCAUCCCGCGUGAAGGACGACGGUUCUAUGGAUUGUAAACUUCUUUUAUAUAGGGAUAAACCUACUUACGUGUAAGUAGCUGAAGGUACUAUAUGAAUAAGCACCGGCUAACUCCGUGCCAGCAGCCGCGGUAAU
rnacentral:rRNA from 1 species